rnacentral:rRNA from 1 species
AGCUCCAAUAGCGUAUAUCAAAAUUGUUGCGGUUAAAAGCUCGUAGUUGGAUCCCUGCCGAGGACGACCGGUCUGCCCACUGGGUGUGUAUCUGCUUCGGCCUGGGCAUCUUCUUGGAGAACGUCUCUGCGCUUGACUGUGUGGUGCGGUAUCCAGGACUUUCACGUUGAGGAAAUUAAAGUGUUUCAAGCAGGCACACGCCUCGAAUACAUUAGCAUGGAAUAAUAAUACAGGACCUUGGUUUUAUUUUGUUGGUUUCCAGAAUUAAGGUAACGAAUAAUAGGGAUAGUUUGGGGCAUUCGUAUUUAAGUGUCAGAAUUGAGAUUCUUGGAUUUGUUAAAGACGGACUAGUGCGAAAGCAUUUGCCAAGGAUGGUUUCA